ACCCUUCUGCUACAGGAGCCCACCAGAGCUGAAGUGCUUAGUGGCUCUUUUUAGGUUUUUUUUUUAAAACGUGUUCUCAGUAUGAUCUUCAGGCUGACCUCUAACUCACCAUUCUCCUGACACAUCCUUCCAAGGCCUGGGAUUACAGAGUCAGCCUCCGAAGCUCCUCCUGUAGAACCCACUCUUAAGGAGCACAUACGGAGACAAUGUGAGCUGGAGCAUUCAAGAGGACUGAGACAUAGAGACAAGGUGCUGGACAGGCAAGAGGAGCCUUCCAGGAAGAGUCCUGGCCUGAGCAGAAUGGAAGAGAAUUCGUGUACAGUGGAUUCCUAUGAGACAGCUUCAUGAAGUCCUAAGGAGAAGGAGGCUGAAGCCUAUGGCCAAAUGACUGGCAGAAGCUGCUGAAGAACUGGUCCAUCACAUGGACAUUUCAUGGUUCUCUUAGAACAAGCAUCUGGGACUUCCUCUCGAUUCAGGUGUGUAGUAUCCUGAUAGUGUGUGCUGAUGGGACUUUUAUAAGCAGUCCUUAUUAAUCACAGCUAGCAGAGAGUAAUUUGAACACAGAACAAAAAAUAUCUGAAUAAAUGUUCAUUGUUGGAA
rnacentral:lncRNA from 1 species